rnacentral:rRNA from 1 species
GAUGAACGCUGGCGGCGGGCCUAAUACAUGCAAGUCGAGCGGACGGACGAAAAGCUUUCUUCUCUCAUGUUAGCGUCGGACGGGGGAGUAACACGUGGAGAACCUAGCUAGAAGACUGGGGUAAAUUCGUGAAAACGGAGCCAAUACCGGAUAAUAGUUUGAACCGCAAAGUGCGAGAGUUUAAGACGGUCUUCCUGUCGCUGAGAGAUGAAGCCGCGCUGCAUUAGCUAGUUGGUAAGGUAACGGCUCACCAAGGCAACGAUGCAUAGCAGACCUGAGAGGGUGAUCGGCCACACUGGAACUGAGACACGGUCCAGACUCCUACGGGAGGCAGCAGUAGGGAAUCUUCCGCAAUGGGCGCAAGCCUGACGGAGCAACGCCGCGUGAGUGAUGAAGGUCUUCGGAUCGUAAAACUCUGUUAUUAGGGAAGAACAUAUGUGUAAGUAACUGUGCACACAUUGACGGUACCUACUCAGAAAGCCCCGGCUAACUCCGUG